rnacentral:misc_RNA from 1 species
UACUGGCAGGAUCAACCAGGUAGCAUUCCUUCGCGACGCCGACGCCCGCAUGAGGCCCGACGAGCCGUGCGGCCGUUGGACGCUCAAGACGGGCGCGGCAGUCGUUCGUGUCGAGGGACGAAAUGCGUUGCUUGGGCAAACGAAGGCCGAGAGACCCCGCACCCGCGCAUAACAUUCUGCAUCCGAGAGCACGGGCAGAGCAACUCAUGGGCCAGGGCAACCACGCAAGCGGGGCGAGGCAUGCCAGGAACACGAGGCUCGCCUUGCGUCCACCCCACCACCCGCGAGGGCAUGGG